rnacentral:lncRNA from 10 species
UGCCCAUCCAACCCCACCCCUGGGGACCCUCAGACACAGGAGAGGGGUGUGGAGCACUAUCCCAAUGCACAGAAAGGAAAGCUGAGGUUUGGAGGGGCGAGGCUUAGGGUGGGGACCCUCAGAGGUAGGGUGGGAAGGACACCCAAGCCUGUCCCACUCCUGGCAUCCCAGGGCAGCUGGUGCAGUGGUUCCAACCUAGCAGGACUGUAGAGGGGAGAAGAUGUGAUGGGUCCGGUGGGAGCUUCGAAGGGCUGGGAGAGACGGUGCUGCUGGAAGAGAGGGUGCUGAUGGUUCUCUGAGGUUGGAAGAGGGAUAAAAGGGUCAGAAGGAGGAGGAUCUGAAGAAGGAAGAUAGGUCUGAGAGAGAAGUAGAUGGUUUAGUGGGAGGAGGGGGAGAGGAUCUGAAGGAGGAGGACAGGGUCUGUUGGAGGAGGUAAGGGUCUGAUGGAGGAAAUAAGGGUCUGAGGGUGGAGGCGAGGUUUGGAGGGAGGAGGUGAAGGUCUGAGGGAGGAGACAAGGGUCUGAAGGAGGAGAUAAGAGUCUGAGGAAGGAGGCGAGGGUUUGAGAGAGGAGGUGAGGGUCUGAAGGAGGAGGUGAGGGUCUGAAGGAGGAGGUGGGGGUCUGAGGGAGGAGGUGAGGGUCUGAAGGAGGAGAUAAGCAUCUGAGGAAGGAGGUGAGGGUUUGAGAGAAUAGGUGAGGGUUUGAAGGAGGAGGUAAGGGUCUGAGGGAGGAGGUGAGGGUCUGAAGGAGGAAGUGAGGGUCUGAGUGAGGAGGUGAGGGUCUGAGGGGAGGGGAGAGUAUCUGAGGGAGAGGGCACAGUCUGAGGAAGUCUGAGAAGCACUAAGUGAGGGGACGCAGCUCUGAGGGAGGAGGAGAGAGUUGGAGGGGAAAGAAGGGUCUGAGGAAAGAAGAUUUGGAGAGAGUCUGAGGGUAGAGGCCAGAUCUGAGGGAGAAGAAAGAGGCUCAGGGGAAAAGAUCUGAGGGUCCGAGGGUGGAAGGCAUGGACUAGGGGAGGAGGAGCUGGUGGGGUGGAGGGGUGGAGAGGCGUGCCUCCGGAGCCAGCAGGGACCAAGGGGAGGGAAGGGAAGGGAGGCUGGGAGGCAGCCCCGCCCUGCAGCUGUCUCUAAUUUCCCAGAAUCUUCUGCUCUCAGGAAAGUCCCAGCUCCCACAGCAGCCUCCCUCCAAUGUCGGGAACGGAGGAUGCGGAACCAGGAUGGCCACCCCCACCCUCCCCCGGCUCCUUGCACCCCAGGCGGAAAGGACUAGGGUCUCCUUUCUCUGGGCCUUGGCCUCUGGAGGGCCCCCACCCGCAGGGGCAGCCCCUGGAUGAGUCUUAGAAACUUCCCAGAGGAGGCCAGGAAGUUCUGCUUGGUGUCUAACCACUUUCCCCUCAUGCAGGCCGCCCUUUGUACCUGUUCAGAUCUCCUCCCCAGCUGCUGUUUCUUUUUCCCCAACCCAUCCUGGGGGAGGAAAGGCCAGGAAUUUACCUGCUCAAAGUCCUGAGAGGGAAACGAAAUUCCAUCUGGAAGUCUGUAGGCUUGAGGCAGCUUUCUUGCUCUCAGGGGCCUCAAUUUCCCUUUCUAAGAGGAGAGAGUAGGGCUGGUCAGGGCCUAAGUUCCCAUCUGGCUCAAUUACUGGGUCUUGUCCUGCUUUUUUUUUGAGACAAGAUCUGGCUCUGUCUCCCAGGCUGAAGUGCAGUGGUGAGAUCAUAGCUCACUGUAGCCUUGAACUCCUGGACUCAAAUGAUCCUCCUGCCUCAACCUCCCAAGUAGGUGGGACUACAGGCAUGUGCCGCAAUGACUGGCUAAUAAAAAAAACAAUUUGUAGACUCAGGGGGUCUCACUGUGUUGCCCAGGGUGUUCUCGAACUCCUGGGCUCAAGCGAACCUCCCUCCUCGGUCUCCCAAAGUGCUGGGAUUACAGGCGUGAGCCACCGCAUCUGGCUU